rnacentral:rRNA from 1 species
GAUGAACGCUAGCGGCAGGCCUAACACAUGCAAGUCGAGGGAGGAGCUUUCGGGCUUCGACCGGCGUACGGGUGCGUAACGCGUAUACAAUCUGCCUUUCACAUAGGGAUAGCCCGAAGAAAUUUGGAUUAAUACCUAAUGGUAUAUAGGAGUGGCAUCACAUUUAUAUUAAAGCUGAGGCGGUGAAAGAUGAGUAUGCGUUCUAUUAGCUAGUUGGAGAGGUAACGGCUCCCCAAGGCGACGAUAGAUAGGGGUUCUGAGAGGGAUAUCCCCCACACUGGGACUGAGAUACGGACCAGACUCCUACGGGAGGCAGCAGUGAGGAAUAUUGGACAAUGGUCGGAAGACUGAUCCAGCCAUGCCGCGUGCAGGAAGACGGCCUUAUGGGUUGUAAACUGCUUUUGCAGGGGAAGAAUAAGGACUACGAGUAGUUUGAUGACGGUACUCUGCGAAUAAGCAUCGGCUAACUCCGUG